CUUACGAACAUUUCGACUUACAAACAGCAUUCCAAUACGGAUUAAGAUCAUAAGUCGAGGCACCACUGUAUUCCUGAAACCUCUGAGCAUGCGCAGAUAAACCCUAUAGUGUGAAUUCACAGAUGACCACUCGAAAAACCAGAGUUACAGGGGCAUAUUUUAGGAAUUUUUCUUGGCAGUCCUAAGUGGCAGAAGAAGUACGAUUUUGUUUUCGUUUGUUGUAUGUUUGCAACAUGUUUUUGAGGUGCAAUAUCAGAAUUGGCCUGCUAGAGGGAACUCCAUUCAUCUUGGACAGUUUGAUUUGACAGCUUGACACAAAUGUCACAAUGUUUAACUAUAAGCAAAGCAGAACUGGAAUUUCAGUGUAGAAACUAAUAACAUCUGUAGCUUGUAAAAAAUUAAAUUAAAGGAGAAGCUACUCUGCAUGGCUUCCCUUUAAUUAAAUCGAGACAGAGAUGAUGUAGUAAUUAGGUGAACCUGUCUAUACGCAAAACAUUCAUCAUCUUUCAAUACCGCUUAAGGCUUUUUAUGGAGAUUUUGUGAAUUGUAUCUUAGCUACUACCUUAGAAUGGCUGUUCUCUUGAGAAAAAAAAGCUAAUAAAUUACAAUUGAAGUACUUAAACAUGGACAGAAUAAAUGGAGUUGGAAAAGAAUGAAGACUGUUGUGUUGUUUUGUAGUGUUGUUUUUUCCAUUUAAACUUCAUAUUAUUAGCAGAUGGUGUUUGUUCUUAACUGUUGAUUCGUGACAUUCUAAGACCUGAAAGUCUACCCUACCUAGAAACCUAGAGUAUACCUUCAAUAUGUUAUAACUGGUAUCUUCAAGAGACUUCUUGAAAACUGCAAGUAGUAUAUGUAAUGCUGAUGUGAAAGCUGGGGAGAAUUGCUGAAUAUGAGAAAGGUCAUCUGUGGAUGGAUAGCUCACCAGAAGCUGGGAGUUGAUUCAGCGCUGAACCCCCAAGGAGAAGAACCAGCUAGUGUAGCCAUGGGCAAACUGCACAGUUCCGGGAUGUACUCAGACAAACAGAAUGAUAAAGCACUUCUGAGUAUUCGUAUCUACAAAAAACAUGGAAAGGGUUGCCAUAUCUCUGAAUCAACUUGGUGGCAUGUAUUUAAUAUUAUUACUGAGCCUCUUAUUGCCUCCCUGUUCUCCAUUACAAAUAAUCUGGGCUUCUGUAAUUACAUUAGUCAUGUGAAGUUCUGCCAUUAAAUUAUCUGUUUCUUCCAGCUGUGUGAAAUAAAUAUGAGGAAUCCAUAAGAAAGAGUGUUUAAAUACAGCUGGCACCUCAGCUGCUAUUCCACUCCCUGCCUGCCUAUUGUUCUACCUUCCUUCCUGCAAUACUUUGAUAAUACUACACUGCUACCUCAGUGUACCAGUCUAACAAGGUUCUACACAGGGUUUUCUUACAAACAACACUGAAAUGAACCUUUGGUCUUGAAUUAAAUUAAUGAAUGAACCUAAUAAAACUGAAAGCCGGCUGAAUAGCUCAGUAGUUUAGU